GACGAACGCUGGCGGCGUGCUUAACACAUGCAAGUCGAACGGAAAGGCCCUGCUUUUGUGGGGUGCUCGAGUGGCGAACGGGUGAGUAACACGUGAGUAACCUGCCCUUGACUUUGGGAUAACUUCAGGAAACUGGGGCUAAUACCGGAUAGGAGCUCCUGCUGCACGGUGGGGGUUGGAAAGUUUCGGCGGUUGGGGAUGGACUCGCGGCUUAUCAGCUUGUUGGUGGGGUAGUGGCUUACCAAGGCUUUGACGGGUAGCCGGCCUGAGAGGGUGACCGGCCACAUUGGGACUGAGAUACGGCCCAGACUCCUACGGGAGGCAGCAGUGGAGAAUAUUGCACAAUGGGCGGAAGCCUGAUGCAGCAACGCCGCGUGCGGGAUGACGGCCUUCGAGUUGUAAACCGCUUUCGCCUGUGACGAAGCGUGAGUGACGGUAAUGGGUAAAGAAGCACCGGCUAACUACGUG
rnacentral:rRNA from 1 species